UACGAAGGGGGCUAGCGUUGUUCGGAUUUACUGGGCGUAAAGCGCACGUAGGCGGAUCGUUAAGUCGGGGGUGAAAUCCUGGAGCUCAACUCCAGAACUGCCUUCGAUACUGGCGAUCUUGAGUCCGGAAGAGGUGAGUGGAACUCCUAGUGUAGAGGUGGAAAUUCGUAGAUAUUUAGGAAGAAACACCAGUGGCGAAGGCGGCCUCACUGG
rnacentral:rRNA from 1 species